rnacentral:rRNA from 1 species
GGGUGCUCGAGUGGCGAACGGGUGAGUAACACGUGGGUGAUCUGCCCUGCACUUUGGGAUAAGCCUGGGAAACUGGGUCUAAUACCGAAUAGGACUCCGGACUGCAUGGUCUGGGGUGGAAAGCUUUUGCGGUGUGGGAUGGGCCCGCGGCCUAUCAGCUUGUUGGUGGGGUGAUGGCCUACCAAGGCGACGACGGGUAGCCGGCCUGAGAGGGUGACCGGCCACACUGGGACUGAGAUACGGCCCAGACUCCUACGGGAGGCAGCAGUGGGGAAUAUUGCACAAUGGGCGCAAGCCUGAUGCAGCGACGCCGCGUGAGGGAUGACGGCCUUCGGGUUGUAAACCUCUUUCAGCACAGACGAAGCGCGAGUGACGGUAUGUGCAGAAGAAGGACCGGCCAACUACGUGCCAGCAGCCGCGGUAAUACGUAGGGUCCGAGCGUUGUCCGGAAUUACUGGGCGUAAAGAGCUCGUAGGUGGUUUGUCGCGUUGUUCGUGAAAACUCACAGCUUAACUGUGGGCGUGCGGGCGAUACGGGCAGACUGGAGUACUGCAGGGGAGACUGGAAUUCYUGGUGUAGCGGUGGAAUGCGCAGAUAUCAGGAGGAACACCGGUGGCGAAGGCGGGUCUCUGGGCAGUAACUGACGCUGAGGAGCGAAAGCGUGGGGAGCGAACAGGAUUAGAUACCCUGGUAGUCCACGCCGUAAACGGUGGGUACUAGGUGUGGGUUUCCUUCCUUGGGAUCCGUGCCGUAGCUAACGCAUUAAGUACCCCGCCUGGGGAGUACGGCCGCAAGGCUAAAACUCAAAGGAAUUGACGGGGGCCCGCACAAGCGGCGGAGCAUGUGGAUUAAUUCGAUGCAACGCGAAGAACCUUACCUGGGUUUGACAUGCACAGGACGCCGGCAGAGAUGUCGGUUCCCUUGUGGCCUGUGUGCAGGUGGUGCAUGGCUGUCGUCAGCUCGUGUCGUGAGAUGUUGGGUUAAGUCCCGCAACGAGCGCAACCCUUGUCUCAUGUUGCCAGCACGUUAUGGUGGGGACUCGUGAGAGACUGCCGGGGUCAACUCGGAGGAAGGUGGGGAUGACGUCAAGUCAUCAUGCCCCUUAUGUCCAGGGCUUCACACAUGCUACAAUGGCCGGUACAAAGGGGUGGGAUGCCGUGAGGUGGAGCGAAUCCUUUCAAAGCCGGUCUCAGUUCGGAUCGGGGUCUGCAACUCGACCCCGUGAAGUCGGAGUCGCUAGUAAUCGCAGAUCAGCAACGCUGCGGUGAAUACGUUCCCGGGCCUUGUACACACCGCCCGUCACUUCAUGAAAGUCGGUAACACCCGAAGCCAGUGUCGUAACC